GACUUUUCUGGCUAAAACUGCAAUACUUGGCUUAAUCCAUUUACUUGGGCUGAAACUUUACAUGCAAUCUAUGAUGUCAUCUUUUUUGCUACUUUGUCUUUUACAGGGCAGAAGCUAUAAAGAAAGCAAAUGGUGUUCUUUUUUCCGAUGAGAAGCUGUGUAAAUAGCUUGUUCAAUUGCUUAUGGCUCUUGACUACUUACAUGUGAAUCAUAUUCUUCAUCGAGAUGUUAAGUCUUGUUCUUGCGGUGUUCAAAUAUAUUCUUGG